ACGAUGAAGAGUUUGAUCCUGGCUCAGGAUGAACGCUAGCGGCAGGCUUAACACAUGCAAGUCGAGGGGUAGCAGUAAUUGCUUGCAAUUAGCUGACGACCGGCGCACGGGUGCGUAACGCGUAUAGAACCUACCAUAAACUGGGGAAUACCCUUUGGAAACGAAGAAUAAUACCCCAUAGAGAUAAGGAUCGGCAUCGAUUUUUAUUUAAAGAUUUAUUGGUUUAUGAUGGCUAUGCGUUCUAUUAGUUAGUUGGUAAGGUAACGGCUUACCAAGACGUCGAUAGAUAGGGGUCCUGAGAGGGAGAUCCCCCACACUGGUACUGAGACACGGACCAGACUCCUACGGGAGGCAGCAGUGAGGAAUAUUGGUCAAUGGAGGCAACUCUGAACCAGCCAUGCCGCGUGAAGGAUGACUGCCCUAUGGGUUGUAAACUUCUUUUAUAGAGGAAGAAAUGUAGGUAUGUAUACUUAUUUGACGGUACUCUACGAAUAAGGACCGGCUAACUCCGUGCCAGCAGCCGCGGUAAUACGGAGGGUCCAAGCGUUAUCCGGAAUCAUUGGGUUUAAAGGGUUCGUAGGCGGGCUAAUUAGUCAGAGGUGAAAUCCAGCAGCUUAACUGUUGAACUGCCUUUGAUACUGUUAGUCUUGAGUUAUAUGGAAGUAGAUAGAAUAUGUAGUGUAGCGGUGAAAUGCAUAGAUAUUACAUAGAAUACCGAUUGCGAAGGCAGUCUACUACGUAUAUACUGACGCUGAUGAACGAAAGCGUGGGGAGCGAACGGGAUUAGAUACCCCGGUAGUCCACGCCGUAAACGUUGGACACUAGUUGUUGGGCAUUAGCUCAGUGACUAAGCGAAAGUGAUAAGUGUCCCACCUGGGGAGUACGGUCGCAAGAUUGAAACUCAAAGGAAUUGACGGGGGCCCGCACAAGCGGUGGAGCAUGUGGUUUAAUUCGAUGAUACGCGAGGAACCUUACCAGGGCUUAAAUGUAGGAUGCAUUAGACAGAGAUGUUUAUUUCUUCGGACUUCUUACAAGGUGCUGCAUGGUUGUCGUCAGCUCGUGCCGUGAGGUGUCAGGUUAAGUCCUAUAACGAGCGCAACCCCUAUUUUUAGUUGCUAACAG
rnacentral:rRNA from 1 species